rnacentral:rRNA from 1 species
UUUCCGGUUGAUCCUGCCGGAGGUUACUGCUAUCGAGGUUCGACUAAGCCAUGCGAGUCGAAUGUAGCAAUACAUGGCGAACUGCUCAGUAACACGUGGACAACCUGCCCUUAGGACGGGUAUAAACCCGGGAAACUGGGUAUAAUACCCGAUAGGUCUCGAUUGCUGGAAUGCAUCGAGAUUUAAAGCUCCGGCGCCUAAGGAUGGGUCUGCGGCCUAUCAGGUAGUAGUGGGUGUAGCGUACCUACUAGCCUACGACGGGUACGGGUUGUGAGAGCAAGAGCCCGGAGAUGGAUUCUGAGACACGAAUCCAGGCCCUACGGGGUGCAGCAGGCGCGAAAACUUUACAAUGCUGGCAACAGCGAUAAGGGAACCUCGAGUGCCAGGUUACAAAUCUGGCUGUCGAGAUGCCUAAAAAGCAUUUCAUAGCAAGGGCCGGGCAAGACCGGUGCCAGCCGCCGCGGUAACACCGGCGGCUCGAGUGGUAACCGUUAUUAUUGGGUCUAAAGGGUCUGUAGCCGGCCGGAUAAGUCUCUUGAGAAAUCUGGCAGCUUAACUGUCAGGCUUUCAGGAGAUACUGUCUGGCUCGAGGCCGGGAGAGGUGAGAGGUACUUCAGGGGUAGGGGUGAAAUCUUGUAAUCCUUGAAGGACCACCAGUGGCGAAGGCGUCUCACCAGAACGGACCUGACGGCAAGGGACGAAAGCUAGGGGCACGAACCGGAUUAGAUACCCGGGUAGUCCUAGCCGUAAACGAUACUCGCUAGGUGUCGGCCACGGUGCGACCGUUGUCGGUGCCGUAGGGAAGCCGUGAAGCGAGCCACCUGGGAAGUACGGCCGCAAGGCUGAAACUUAAAGGAAUUGGCGGGGGAGCACCACAACGGGUGGAGCUUGCGGUUUAAUUGGAUUCAACGCCGGG